rnacentral:rRNA from 1 species
GAUGAACGCUGGCGACGUGCCUAAGACAUGUAAGUCGAGCGAACAGAUGAGGAGCUUGCUCCUCUGACGUUAGCGGCGGACGGGUGAGUAACACGUGGAGAACCUACCUAUAAGACUGGGAUAACUUCGGGAAACCGGAGCUAAUACCGAAUAAUAUAUUGAACCGCAUGGUUCAAUAGUGAAAGACGGUUUUGCUGUCACUUAUAGAUGGAUCCGCGCCGCAUUAGCUAGUUGGUAAGGUAACGGCUUACCAAGGCAACGAUGCGUAGCCGACCUGAGAGGGUGAUCGGCCACACUGGAAUUGAGCCACGGUCCAGACUCCUAAGCGAGGUCGCAGCCGGCACUCUUCUGUACCGGUCGAAAGCCUGACGGUGGAACGGCGUGUGAGUACUGGAGGUCUUGGGACCGUAACACUGCGUUCCUAGGCACGCACAAAUGUGUAAGUAACUAUGCUUGUAGUGACGGUACCUAAUCAGCCAGCCACCGCUAGCUACGUU